UUAGUGCUGUGAUGUUUGAUUUUGUUGAAUGAUUUUGUGUACCUCUGACUCAGUGUUUGGAGGUGGUCUCUCAGUGGGCUCACAGCAGUGCGGUGUGCAGCAGUACGGCCACAGAGGCAGAAACGUCUCAUCCACGGUCCAGCCUGAGAGAUCAUUCACCUCAUGGGAGAACUUCAGAUCCUGGAGACACUGCUUCACACACAGAGGGUCCAACCUUCCCAGCCAGGUACAGCAUGUUUGUGUCGGGGUCAUAGAAAGGAAACAGGACUCCAGCUGCUCCGUCCAGGUCCUCCUCAUACAGAGGCUCAGACAGGUCCUCCUGAAACAACAUAGGAACCCUGCAUCAUUACAGACAGUUAUGGAAAAGGCUCAUGUGAGUGUUGUCAUGAUGGUAACAUUUAAAGAUGCACUGAGUAACUUUUAUGGUAGGGAGUCCAUCACCUUUUGUAUCAGUGGAAUUGUUAGUGCAUUGCUUAGAAAGUCUCACAGUAUGGCUUGUAACUAAUAAUAUCUCCAUGGAGACAAGAAGAUAACACCAACAGGCCAGUGGAAUGACAACCCCAGUUACAGUAAAAUUGCAUGUUGCAAGGUAUUUUUGAGCAAUAAAAAAAUGUUAUGACAUAAAUACUAAAGUGAAAAGUUUUAUGCAACACUGUGGAACAUUCCUGGCAAAGCAAUAACAUCUCCAUAGAGACAAGCCAGUAGCAGUCCUUCUACCAGUAAAGUUACACAGUGCACCUUUACACUUGACUUCAACACUAAGGAUAAGGUUGCUUGAUACACAAUGCCAAUUUUGCUACAUUUAAUUAUAAUACUUAAACAACUUUUCAAAGUAAUCGAUAGGGCUGUAGUCGACUAAAUUACAUAUCUUUGUGUAUCUUACCCAAACUUCACCCAUAAGACUACACUGGCAUGGGGAUUCAUGCAAAAGGACUAACUGUGCAGAAAAAUUGUAUGUAAACUGUAAAAUGUUUUUUACAGUAAUUAAACUUGUGAGUUUAUGAGCCUUUUUGCAUAUAAAUACCAAAAAUCGUACAAGCAAAUAGAAUAAUUACAUUUUGGUCAACUUAGACACAUUGACCAUGAUGAGACCAUAAGACGAUAAGACUAAAUAUUAGAUUUUCUGUACAUUGCCCAUAAAGUUAUAUAGGCCCCUGCCCUCCAAAGGUUAUGAGACUGUAUAUAGUGAAUGCAAUGAAUACACAAAUGCCUAUAAAUUUUCAUAGUGCUGUUUACUAGGUAUCAAAAAUCAGAUUCCGAAAUACUAAAACUAGUAUCAAAACUAGAUACUCAUUCAAGCAAGUUACGAUAUUGACAGGACAGAAAUGAACCUUUCCUGAAUAGCUUUAGAAUGAGCUGUAUCAGAACAAGUGUAAGAGCACAUAGACUAGAAAAUAUGCCCAUGGACCACUAUGAAACCUACCUGGACCACUGAGGAAUUACACAGAUAUAAGACCACAUGGUAAUAGAAAAGAAAGUACUAUGAUUUAAUUACUAUCAUGAUAACACUACUUCACACUACAGGCCUAUAAUGUACUGGAGUUCUGACCGGGUCCCACAGCACAAUCUGCCUCUGGUUCCACGGAGAACAGCCAGUGGAGAGGAGCAUCUUGUCAUUGAUGAACAGCACUUUACUGGCUCUGUGUGGCCCCCUGCUGGACACCUGCAGUAUCUUCCCCAUGCGUGGGUCCAGGAUUCGGAUGCGUCUGUCCUUGGAGGUUACGGCCAGAGAGCUCCCGUCUCUGCUGAAGGAGACUGACAGGAGCAGGGCCUCGGAGGGACAGCGGUACAGAAAGGGCAUCAUGACCACACGCACUGGGGACCUGAGCACGGACCCAGGCUGUGACAGGUCCCACAACAGCACCUGCACACACACAACAUGAAAGCAGCGUGUUAGGUUUAGUUCAAUGAAAUAAAUACAGUAAAAUGUCAAAAACAGCCAGCCAGCCAUCCAGUGAUUUUUUUUAAAGAAGGGGUGUUAUAGUAAUUAUUAUUAGUAUUAUCAUGUAAAAAGAAGUGGACGAAGUGAUUUUGAUAUCACCCAGAGCACUCGGCUCCAGUCAAAAGAAACUCAUCGAGGCUUGCAGUUAUAGGGGUGUAUUUGGAGCCAAAUCAAAUAUUUGGAAUUUCGAGUAUCAUAGAAACCAUGACAAAACAUACAAAAAUGCACGUAAUCUGGUAUUUUCUAAAGGAUAGACACAAAGAUGAGACAAUCAUAUCUGAAGGAGCGGUGCAAGAAAUACAAAUGUUGAAAUCAUUUCAUUUUGUCACAUAAAGCUUUUGUCAUUUGAAAACUUACUCACAAUGGGAAGAGGAACCAAAACUUUUACUCAAGUAAGAGUUGUGUUACUUUAGUAGAAAUAUUACUCAAGUAGGACUUAAAGUAUAUGCUAGAAAAGAAGAAGAAAAAAAAUAUUUCUUUAAAGGGACAUUGUUUAACUUUUCUGGUGGAGGGUCUGUCAAAUGCUUGUUUCCAUAUAAUGUUAUUUCUUUGUCUGAAAUGUUUCACAGUAUGGUAUUAAACCUUUCCACCUUCAUGGAGACCAAACCAGACCAAGUUAUAGAUCUGUGGAGAGGGGACCAUGCUCACAGUCAGAAUGCAUGUUUUUCUCUGUAUUUUUGAGCUAUAAAACCUGUAACUGAAUACAUGUAAGGUAGAGCUGUUUAAUGUCCACACUGUGGAGCAUUCCAGGAAGAGCAAUGACAUAUCCAUAGAAACAAACAUACUGACCUCCAACCAAAAAGUUACACAGUGCACCUUUAAAAAGUUACUCAAGUAAAUGUAACUGACUAUUACCCACCUCUGAUGCGAUCCUGGACUCACCUUGUAGUCAUAGGCAGAGCUCAGCAACAGGUUUUCAGCUGUAGGGUGCCACUCGAUGAUGGCCACACGUCUGGAGUGACCCAUCAGAGUCUUGGUGGCCCAGGUCAGGUCCUUCUGCACCCCACUCACUGGUAUGUCCCAAACCUUCACCUACACAAACACAGAGUGUUUGAGUAAUCCUUUAUUUUUAGUCCGUCUACAUUUCCAAAGCUCAAAAUGCUCUGUUCCACCUUGUGAUGUCAUCAAGUGGUCUUCAAGUUAAGAACUACUUAUGUUUGUAGAGAAUGGCACUUCCAGGGCUGAAAUUAUCCAAAUGAUUCUAGUGAAGGUACGUAUGUAGAGUUUUUGAUGAGGAAACAACUUUAUAAUAUGUUCCCCAUAGUUUUGUUAGAUUCAUGCAUGUUUGAUUGUCCUGCAUUUGAGGCUCAGAAAAGUUCUGUUGGCUACUACCCCCUGUCUCCGCCCCCUGCCUCCGCCCACUGCUCUGCACUUACUUAUUCAAAAUAGUCCUAUUCAGAAAACCUGAAUCUACCACUACAAAACCAUAUGUUGUGUUACUGUUUUAUAUGAUUCUUAGGUGUUAUUAGUGAGGUACCGUGCAGUCUUCAGAGCAGGAGGCGAUGCAGUGGUCGUCAAACGGGUUCCACUUCACGUCCAACACCUGUGCCCUGUGCCCACACACCCGAGGGUGCAGGGGGUCCACCCGGCCGGUCUGCAGGGCACACAACUCAUCAAGAGAUACCACCCUCUGCUACCAGGCCUAUCAUGAGAAAUACUAUAUCAACAAUAAUUUUUGGGGGGGUCAAUAUUUAUUGCAAGGACGUUUUCUGUGUAUUAGUGGGAAAAUUUUGGCUAUUUCUUUGUACUACAAUCAGAUUUCAGCUGUACAUGGUUGAAUUAUGAAUGUCUAUGACUCCUUAUAGAUACAAACUAGCUACUUAUGUGUUGCAUUCUGUUAUUUAUUUAUUGCAGCUCAUAUUUUUAACAGUCACAAUCACACUAGGUAGAAUUCUGUCCACACAAUUUACACAUUUAUUCUUAUACUUUAAACAUUAAGUAAACAAAAUAAAGGUGUUUUAUUUAUCAGGUAAUAAUUUCUGUGUACAUUAGAGGAGUUCUGAUAGUGUGAUGCCACAAUUUCCAAACAGGAAGUCAAAUUUGAAACCUAAAAAAAUUGCCAGCUUGGGCUAACAAGUGUAAAUGCUUUUCCAAAAAUCAUAAAUAUAAUGAUCUUAAGUGUGUUUUAGUAAAAUUUGUGGUCUAACCUGUCAUAGGCAGUUCAAAGGACACUUAUUUUCCCACUUGUAUCAAGGAAUUCUUUCAGAGUAAUUGUUUUGUAGAGUCACAUGUAAGAGCUUUUUCAGAAAAACAUCAACUAAACUGAAUCACUUUCAAUUAUGCAGUACAAACCACACAUCAUGACACACAGAGUGAAGCUUUCAAAACUUUCUGAAAUGAGUGACCAAAAAUAUAGAACUUUUUCAUUAUAUUCAAAUUUUUUGAGAUGGUCUGUAUAUGUUUUGUUUUUCUGAUAUUGUACAGAUAUCACUUACAUGAGUGACGGGCAGCACAAGGAAGGCCCCCCCGCCCGAGCACUCUGUCACCACGGCGAUGAAGGCGGGGUUUACGGCGCAGCAGUGGGUGUCAUGGACGCCGCGGGUGAUUGGCAGUCCAUCAAAACUGUGCUCUCGAGACGCUGGCUUCGCAAAAACAUGACGAAACUUUGAGCCCCGGAAAGAGGAGCGUGCUGACAUCUGGAGAUAGAUACAUUUUGAAGGCUGUAACAAAUAAUAAAGUGUCGUGAGUAUACCACAUGCAAUUAUUAAAUGCUGAAAUCAUAUAUUUGUUUAAAUGUUGUUAAUGAAGUC